UUUGUUUCCACACGGCACAACUUAGCGACACACCACCUGGCAGAGCAUGGCAAGGGAGAAACAACACGGUCGGUUGUCUCCACACUCGGUAAAGUUGAUUUAAGAUAAAGAGUUAAGACAUUACAUGUAAACAAAGAAGACGAAGACAGAAGAAAAUACAAGAUUCAGCCCUUUUGGUAGUGUGCAGCCUACGAGUUCUCACGGGUCGGUCGGUGACUGUGAAUAAACCCUGUUCUUAAA